UACGGGGGGGGCAAGCGUUGUUCGGAAUUACUGGGCGUAAAGGGCUCGUAGGCGGCCAACUAAGUCGGACGUGAAAUCCCCAGGCUCAACCUGGGAACUGCGUCUGAUACUGGAUGGCUUGAGUUCGGGAGAGGGAAGCGGAAUUCCGGGUGUAGCGGUGAAAUGCGUAGAUAUCCGGAGGAACACCAGUGGCGAAGGCGGCUCACUGGCCCGAUACUGACGCUGAGGUGCGAAAGCGUGGGGAGCAAACAGG
rnacentral:rRNA from 1 species